UCUUAGAAAUGUGUUUCGCCCUCUUCAAUCUCUAUGGGCUCAUCGGUGAAGAUGAGAGGUUGGAUAUCUUCAGACACAUUCCAAUCAAAAAACAACAUUCGAGACCUAGACAUAGCAGGAACGUUAAUCUACGCCCAACCUGACAAUGCCAUUCUCAAGUUUUAAUUCCCUAAUUACUUUAGAGUAAGUAAGAUUAUGUUUAUGAA
rnacentral:lncRNA from 1 species